AAUCAACGCUGGCGGCGUGCCUAACACAUGCAAGUCGAACGCGAAAGUGGAGCAAUCCAUGAGUAGAGUGGCGAACGGGUGAGUAACACGUGGGUGACCUGCCUUCGAGUGGGGGAUAACGUCCCGAAAGGGACGCUAAUACCGCAUGACAUCCUGCCUUUGAAGAGGUGGUGAUUAAAGCUGGGGAUCGCAAGACCUGGCGCUUGGAGAGGGGCCCGCGUCCGAUUAGCAGUUGGUGGGGUAACGGCCUACCAAGGCGACGAUCGGUAGCCGGCCUGAGAGGGCGGACGGCCACACUGGGACUGAGACACGGCCCAGACUCCUACGGGAGGCAGCAGUGGGGAAUUUUGGACAAUGGGGGCAACCCUGAUCCAGCCAUGCCGCGUGCGGGAAGAAGGCCU
rnacentral:rRNA from 1 species